UCAUUUUGAGCCUUAGUUUUCCUCAUUUUAUCUUUGCAGGUUCGGGACGAAUGAUUGUACAGAUAUCCAUCUUGGCCAUCUCAUAACUACAGAAGUGCAUAUUCAGUACACUUCACUUAUGUGAAUUUCAUUAAAAUCCUCUUCUUCCUUGAAAUUAAUUUCAAAUUUUUAACACAAUUUUUCUUCCAUCAAGUUAAAUGGUCACUGAUAGGAAAAAAAUACAGCAUAAUGUUCUUUGCAGCAGUAUUUUAUAUACAGAUAGUUCUUGAGCUACUAUCCAACUGAGAAAGAAUUUCAAUUGCUAAGCAAGGCAAUUGUUAAAUGAUUCAGCUCUGAGGAUCAGUCAACUUGUUUGGAUCAUUGUAAAUAUGGUUGUAAUUGUUACUGGGAAUGCAGCGAAGAGGAAAAGCAACAAAAAGAAGAGAAGAGAAAAGAAAAAGAAAUGGGAAAAAAGAGAAAAUAGGGGGAAAUGAUUAAUGUGUUGCAUGCUUCUUUAUAUAUAUGAAUCAGGAUGAGAAAGAAAGAGAUAAUGUUUCAAUCCAAGAAAAUAAAUCAGACUAAGAGACCAAUAUUAUAUAGCUUGGGAUGCUUUUAUUGAAAUACUUGUAAUAACAGAAACUUGUAAUGUAUGCUUUCCUCUUCCUCUCUUUAUAUUUCUGUCAGCUAGGAAGGGACUUUUCUGAGUUGCUUUUUAAGUUAUUUUCUUGGCCAGGACUCAAGUUCCUUUUAUCUGAUGUUCAAGUUCCUUUUAUCUGAUGUUGCCUUGGUAGCAACUGUUGUGUCCUGAGCUGCAAAAGCAGGCUCGGGACGUUGCAUUGGUCCUGGGCAUUCCAAAAGCUGUCCGGGACCAGACUGAGUGGUGCCAGCCUUGCGUGCAUGCGCAGGGUGCACAAAUGCUCUGCUACUUGUUGCCAUUGUGUCUGGGUCUCUGGGCAGAUAAAGAGAGGCCUGCAUGCCGUUUGUGUUGUUGGGAUGUUGUUGUUAAACGAAUAAAGAGCUGUUAACUACACAAUGAGUCUUCCUCAUUCACCCACGAUCAAAGGA